AACGAACGCUGGCGGCAGGCCUAACACAUGCAAGUCGAGCGCACCUUCGGGUGAGCGGCGGACGGGUUAGUAACGCGUGGGAACGUGCCCAGAUCUGCGGAAUAGCCACUGGAAACGGUGAGUAAUACCUUAUACGCCCUUCGGGGAAAGAUUUAUCGGAUUUGGAUCGGCCCGCGUUAGAUUAGAUAGUUGGUGGGGUAACGGCCUACCAAGUCUACGAUCUAUAGCUGGUUUUAGAGGAUGAUCAGCAACACUGGGACUGAGACACGGCCCAGACUCCUACGGGAGGCAGCAGUGGGGAAUCUUGGAACAAUGGGGCAACCCUGAUCCAGCCAUGCCGCGUGAGUGAUGAAAGGCCUUAGGGUCGUAAAGCUCUUUCGCCAGGGAUGAUAAUGACAGUACCUGGUAAAGAAACCCCGGCUAACUCCGUGCCGCGCCGCGGUA
rnacentral:rRNA from 1 species